UACGUAGGGUGCAAGCGUUGUCCGGAAUUAUUGGGCGUAAAGAGCUCGUAGGCGGUUUGUUGCGUCGGCUGUGAAAUCCCGAGGCUCAACCUCGGGUCUGCAGUCGAUACGAGCAAACUAGAGUGUUGCAGGGGAGACUGGAAUUCCUGGUGUAGCGGUGAAAUGCGCAGAUAUCAGGAGGAACACCGGUGGCGAAGGCGGGUCUCUGGACAACAACUGACGCUGAGGAGCGAAAGCGUGGGGAGCGAACAGG
rnacentral:rRNA from 1 species